rnacentral:rRNA from 1 species
CACACCGCCCGUCACACCAUGGGAGUUGAUUGCACCAGAAGUAGUUAGCCUAACCGCAAGGGGGCGAUUACCACGGUGUGGUCAAUGACUGGGGUG